UCUGGGCUCGUCUAAUGGUAGGACUCGGGACUCUGACUCCCGCUAUCCAGGUUCGAAUCCUGGGCCCAGAU
rnacentral:tRNA from 1 species